rnacentral:rRNA from 1 species
GAUAAACGCUGGCGGCGUGCCUAAUACAUGCAAGUCGAGCGAACGGACGAGAAGCUUGCUUCUCUGAUGUUAGCGGCGGACGGGUGAGUAACACGUGGAUAACCUACCUAUAAGACUGGGAUAACUUCGGGAAACCGGAGCUAAUACCGGAUAAUAUUUUGAACCGCAUGGUUCAAAAGUGAAAGACGGUCUUGCUGUCACUUAUAGAUGGAUCCGCGCUGCAUUAGCUAGUUGGUAAGGUAACGGCUUACCAAGGCAACGAUGCAUAGCCGACCUGAGAGGGUGAUCGGCCACACUGGAACUGAGACACGGUCCAGACUCCUACGGGAGGCAGCAGUAGGGAAUCUUCCGCAAUGGGCGAAAGCCUGACGGAGCAACGCCGCGUGAGUGAUGAAGGUCUUCGGAUCGUAAAACUCCGUUAUUAGGGAAGAACAUAUGUGUAAGUAACUGUGCACAUCUUGACGGUACCUAAUCAGAAAGCCACGGCUAACUACGUGCCAGCAGCCGCGGUAAUACGUAGGUGGCAAGCGUUAUCCGGAAUUAUUGGGCGUAAAGCGCGCGUAGGCGGUUUUUUAGUCUGAUGUGAAAGCCCACGGCUCAACCGUGGAGGGUCAUUGGAAACUGGAAAACUUGAGUGCAGAAGAGGAAAGUGGAAUUCCAUGUGUAGCGGUGAAAUGCGCAGAGAUAUGGAGGAACACCAGUGGCGAAGGCGACUUUCUGGUCUGUAACUGACGCUGAUGUGCGAAAGCGUGGGGAUCAAACAGGAUUAGAUACCCUGGUAGUCCACGCCGUAAACGAUGAGUGCUAAGUGUUAGGGGGUUUCCGCCCCUUAGUGCUGCAGCUAACGCAUUAAGCACUCCGCCUGGGGAGUACGACCGCAAGGUUGAAACUCAAAGGAAUUGACGGGGACCCGCACAAGCGGUGGAGCAUGUGGUUUAAUUCGAAGCAACGCGAAGAACCUUACCAAAUCUUGACAUCCUUUGACAACUCUAGAGAUAGAGCCUUCCCCUUCGGGGGACAAAGUGACAGGUGGUGCAUGGUUGUCGUCAGCUCGUGUCGUGAGAUGUUGGGUUAAGUCCCGCAACGAGCGCAACCCUUAAGCUUAGUUGCCAUCAUUAAGUUGGGCACUCUAAGUUGACUGCCGGUGACAAACCGGAGGAAGGUGGGGAUGACGUCAAAUCAUCAUGCCCCUUAUGAUUUGGGCUACACACGUGCUACAAUGGACAAUACAAAGGGCAGCGAAACCGCGAGGUCAAGCAAAUCCCAUAAAGUUGUUCUCAGUUCGGAUUGUAGUCUGCAACUCGACUACAUGAAGCUGGAAUCGCUAGUAAUCGUAGAUCAGCAUGCUACGGGAAUACGAAUCCCGGGUCU